GAAGCAGUGGAGAAAAUAGAAGAAGCUGUUUGAAAACAGAAAUCUAUUAACAAAUCUUUGCUGUUAUUCUUUGGAAAUUGAAGCUCAUCAAGCGAAUUCCGAAGAUUUUUUAGAAUGUGAAGGCAUUCGCUUCUGAUUUCCAUCAAGGUUGAUGAAUCCGCAACAGACUUAGAAGAAUGCUUCACAUUUUUUUUCCCUGCAAACAGGUUUUCUAGUUCUUCAGAAACCAUAUUGUCUUGAUGCAACAAAGAUUCAAAAGAACGGAGGAAGCCUAGAAGAGAUAACAUUGCUUGGAAGUUGUGUUCCAUAAUAAAGCUUUUGGGUAUAUGGGUAGAGAGGGUAAUGACAACUUCCCUGAGAUGCAAAGAUGUAGAUUUGAACUGCUCUCUUGCCAACUGAAGAUAUGUUUUUCUCUUUCCCUUGCUACCAUCAAUGCUGCCUUCCUCCAUUUUAGACAAUUCAUCUUCAGAGACACGGUCCUCAGAAACACCACCUUCAAGGAAAACUAUCAUUGAGUUGAAAGAAUGCCUCCAACCAUUUAGUGGCUCAAAGCACUUUGCCAGUCUUUCUACACGAUGAUCCAAAUAUAUCUCUUUCAUCUCUGAACCAACUGCAGUGGAGUCAUAGUCACCAAAGAAGAGAAGAUCUCCCAAGGAACAAAUCGAAGCAUCCUUCUGAGGGUCUGUUUCAAAUGACUCUUUCAAAUGCUUCAUAACCCGAGAUGCCACCUCCUUAACUGCAACAGCAGUUGGAGCACAAGUAAGAGUCCUUAUGUUUGUUCCCAAGAGAGCACAUAGCAAUGCACUAAUAGUUCUAGUCUUCCCUGUUCCUGGUGGGCCACAGAUAAGUUCCACAGAUGACUUGUGGUUGCAGUGAAUUUUACGAAGUGAAGCCAAAACCGCAGCCAUUUGAGACUUAUUCAGCUUAGACGAUAGGAUUGUGCCAAAAGUUUCAGUGCGUACUCCUCUACUGCUCUCUGGACAGAGUUCACAACUUUCUUUAACCUGUAAUUUACAAUCCAAAUUUGAGAUGCCAUACAAAAGCAAACAAGUAAGAAAUUUCUAAAGCAUGCUCACGGUGCAAUGCUUACCGUUGAAUCAGUGAACAAAACUUGUUUGAUAAUAUUCAGAUUCCCAGACAUGUGUAGUGCAUUCCAAAUUCUUUCACCAGUUGUUAUAUUAAUUAGGAAAUACAUGAAGGUCCAUUUGUUCUUCCCAUCUCCUUCUGUUCUCUCUUUUGAUACUCGGACUUUAAAACAAACAGUUGUACCAUCAUCCUCAAUCUCAUUCUCUCUGACUUCAGUGACCAAUGCAAAAGCCCAUGUCUUCCUCCCCAAGCAUUGUAUAUCAGAAAAAGUUUCAAGUUUAGCAUCUGCAAAAAUAACAAGAUCUCCAGGCACUGUUCUAUAAGGGUCCAGACAACGGCCAGCGGACCUGUUUCUCCAGUAAUCAACCCUGACAUUGUAUAGUAAUUCUUCAUCUGGUUCAACCUUGUCAAUACAGAUAACUUCAGCGAAAGGUGCCCUGGAAAUCAGCUCCAAACCUAAAGAGAGUUGAGCCCUUGUUUCUUCCAGUAAAGGGUAUACAAAUGAUGCAAAAUAAUGCUCUGCUGAUUGAAAUGUACCAGGAAUCUUUUCCACCUGAAAAUGCAAUGGAAUUCAAUUUUAAAAACUAAAAUUUUUUGUAGUAAUAGAAAUUUAAGCACACCAUCUGCUCAAUCAAAGAUUUAUAAUGCAUAAAACGGCAAUAGAAGGAAAAGCAGAAGGAUGAAUCAGAUUGAAGGAUUAGUGUUAAACUAACAGUUAACUCCAAAGCUUGAGGUUUUAGGUAAUGGGUCGCCAGUUAAAAGAAUAGAAAACAGAACAAAGAGGACAUUGGAGAUUGAGACAGGAGGUUAAGGAAACUAUAAAAAUUCCAAGGGAGGAAUGAUAUUUAUCUGACUUACGGUCUACAGAUUCUCGUCGAAAGAUAAGUCAAUUUUCUUUACCAAUUUUCUUCUCUUUUCCGAGAAAAUUCUAAACAAAAAGAAAAGGUUUAAAACGGGGGUUAAUGGUGGGACACGUUGAGGGAAAUGAGACUGAUUCCACCUGCCAGAGGAAUCCACUGGGAUCUUCAAAAGUUUGAGGGGAGUAACAUGGGAAAGCAAAUACCAAAAGUCAAAAAAAUAAGAUUUAUAAAAAGAAGAAAAUAAAAGAAAAAUUAAUAAAAUUUAUUAAUAUUUCAUUUUUAUUUUUAUUUUUUUGUUGUAAGUUAGAUAAAAACAAUUGUCACUUUGUACACUUAUUUUCUCCUUUUUAUACAUAUGUGAUACAAUAAAACAUAUUUGACCAUUUCCCAAUUAAUUUAUGCUUACAAAGUUAUUUUUUAAUAGGAUGUUUUUAAGAAAAAAGAUGUACAUAUAUAAAAAAAAGAUUUUCUUGUUAAUUCUUUAUAAAGACAUCGUGUACCAUGGAUAAAAAUAUUAGGAAAUUUUUUAUAUUUAUAUGUGUUUUUCAAAAAAUAUGUUUUUUUAAUUAUUUUUUCUAAUUCAUCUUUUAUUUUAAAUUUAUAUUUCCAUUUCAUUUUAUAUUAUCCUUUUAUUUUCAAUUAUUUUUUAUAUUUAUCUCAUUAAUUCUAUUUUAUAAAAUUACUAUCAUUUUACUUUUAAUUUUUUUAUAUUUAUCUAUUAAUUUUAUUUAAUUUUAAUUUUUUUAUUUUAAAACAUUAAAAAUAUAAAUUUAUUCAAUAAUUUUUAUAAAAAAAUUAAUGAAAUUCUAAUAUUUUAUAAAUUAAAAUUUAUUUGAUAAGAUAAAUUAUUAACAGAAUUUUUAAUAAAUUUAAUUAUUUAAAUAAGUUAAUAGUAAUAGCCAACGGUUAUCACCACAAAUUUGUAAUAAAAUUUUAUAAAUUAAAAGAAAAAAAAUGUGUUUCCAUGCACUCUUAUAAAAAUAAUCAUAAAAGAAAAACCCAAAAUAAUUCACUGGUAAUAUUUAUAAUGAUCAAAGGUAGAACUUAUAUAAUUAAAAUGUAGUACAUGAAUAGUCAAAGGUAGUACUUUUGAUCAAAAAAUACAUGAAAUACUAAUUAUUUUUAAAUGACGGUUUGAAAUUUGUAUUUUAUUAACUUGACUUCCUAUUUUGUGAUUUUUUUUUUCAUAUGGGUGUAUGGAAACAUACAUUUCUCAAAAUUAAAUCUCAAAUAAAAUAUUUUAUAUAAAUCUAUUUAGUUUUUUUUUAUUUAAAAUGUAAUAAAACAUGUUUUAAUAAAAGUAGUUUUUAAUUUAAGAUAUUUUUUCUAAAUUUUUUUAAUAAAUACUAUGGUUGAUCAUAACUAUAACAAUUAUACUUAUAAAAUAACUUUACCACGAUGUAUUCUUCCUUAUUUUAUUUUUAUUUUUAAGAUUUCCAAGAUUAUCAUGACUUUUGCACAAUUUUCACCCACUAAUAUUUUUGUCAAAAUAUUACCGUUAUUUUCUAUAUAUUUGAAAAUACAAAUAGGGAUAUAUUCAUGUUUAUCAAUAUUUUCAUCAUGUGUACUAUUUUUUCAUAUUUUUAUUUUUAUUUUUUUAUAAUAUUGUGAAAAAAAAUGAAAAUAGUUUAAUUUUAUUCUUAAAAAUGGGCCACUUUUUAGAAUAUUUUUUUUAAAAAAAGAAAAACUUAUUUUCUAGUCCAAAAUUUACUAUUAAUAUUUUAAAAUUUCAAAAUUAUUUUAUUAUGAAGGAGUACUUUGGAAAGAGUUAAAAUAGUCCACAAAUAAGGAGCAACAACAAAAGGGAGAAUAAUAAUUUUAAGUAAAAAAAAAAAACAAAAAACUUAGGUUAUGCUUGAUUACUAAAAUACAUACUUGAUUUAAAAAAUAAUAUAUAAUUAAAAAUUAUUUAUUUAACCUUUAUAUUUAAAGGGAAAAAAAUAAACCUAAUUAUUCUAUUUUGAUAAUCAAACAAAUAUAAAUAAAUAAAAUGGAUUUGAUCCUUUAAACAAAUAAAUAAUGAGAAACACUUCCUAAACAAAAUUAAAACUGGAGCCACUGCAUAUCAAUAUUACAUUUUAAAUUUUAAAUUAUUAAAAACUAGAAUUCCUGGAAAAAAAAAAAAAAAGGUGUUUAUAUGAAGAAAGAUAAUAAUUGAUUUUUUCAUUUUUAUCCUUUCUUUUCUUAACAUAGAGGUUAUUUGAAUUUUUAAUUUUGAAAAAUAAUUAUUUUUUGAAGAGAAAAACUAAAUAUCAAAUGGUUAAAAAUUCCUUAUAUUAUAAAUAUAAAAAGGGUAUAAGUUAAAAUAAAAAGAAAUAGAAAAAUAAUUAAUCACAUCCUAUUUUAUAAAAUUAAAAAAAAAUUAUUCAUUUUGUAAGAAAAUAAAAAAUGAUUAAAAAAGGCGAAAAAAAUAUUAAAAGAGGGAAAAAUGCAUGAAUAUAUGAUUAUAAACCCGCCCUUCUAAAGUAUUUAUCAAAAUUAAGGUCUUAUUUGGUAACUGUUUUUUAAAAUAGUUUUGAAAAAUAGUUUUUGAGAACAGUUUUUUAAAACCAUUCUUUGAUGUUUUGUAAAACAAAAAUUUAUUUGACAACCUAAAAUAUUUUUAACAUAUUUUUAAAAGGCCUAACAAUUAAAAGAUGUUUUUUAAAAAUAUGUUGUUUUCUCUUCUUAAGAACAAAAAAAUAAAAAACAAUUUUUAAUUCUUGAACAUGUUUUCAAUUUUUUGUUAUGAAAAAUAAAAAACUAUUCUAAAAAAUAUUUCCCAAAAAGGCCUAAGAAUCUCAGCCUCUCGAUCUCUUUCAAGGGUCUAUCCUCCUCCUAAAAGACGAACCAUUUUCAAACAAGUAAAGCUAAACGGAGAUGACUAAACCAUGCAUACACUAAGAAAGCCUCAACCGAGGAACAAGUGAAUUGGCUUGGCCCUGUAUAUGAAAGACCCAAACUCAGCCAAAGUGGGGCUAUAGCCUAUAGCUAGCUUAAGAAUCAUAAUCCAGCAAAGCACCAACUCCAUAUAUAACCACAAUAUUACUAUUAAAAAUGCUGAAGCAUUCCAUAAUAUUAUAAAACAAAAAAGGAUGAUAAAGAAUAGAAGAACCUGGGUCUUGUAAAGAUCUUCAUUCUGAAUGUCUUCAAGGGACCAAGAAAACAGCCGCUGGGUCAACCCAGAGACUUUGGGAACUGCUCUCGUCUCCCUCUCCAUCUUUCUCUAUUUUUGAACCAAGUCUAGUAAGUCAACUAAGUCCUUAAGCCCUUCAACCCAUCAAACAAAGCUACAUAUAGAGAGAGAAAUGACGAAACUUAGCUAGAAAGGAAGCAAAAGUGAGGGAAAUCUAGGAAUCUGCAGUAAAAGCAGUGGGUUCUCAUGUCCAGUAGCAUUCCUCCAUUCAUAGCUUUUACACUAAGAGAGUCAUUCCAUCAUGCAAACCUUAAAAAGAGGAAGCCAAAGUAAUAUAAAAGGAAAAAGUUUGCAGUAAAGGAAUAACAGUCUAAAGUUGGCUGGUAUUUUUCAAUCAACUUCCACAGUCCCACUCCAAUACAAAAUAAAUAAAUAAAUUCUCUCCCUUUUAAUAUUUCCUUUUUUUUAAAAAAAACUUUUUUAUACAUGGGUUCUGCUUCUGCCUACAUAUUUCAAAAUUAUUUUUAAAGUUUUAAAAAGUUGAAAAAUCAAGACUACCACCAAAUAUAUUCUAUUUCAAAAAAAUUCAUACAAAAGCGAAAAAAUGUUAGCGUCCGUCUAGUAACUGUUUUCAAUAACAAUUUUGAAAAACAAUUUUUGAAAAUAGUUUUUCAACAUUGUUCUAUAUGCUUUGUAAAAUAAAACUCUAUUUGAAAACAUAAAAUGUUUUUAACCUAUUUUUAAAAAUAAUUUUUAUAUAUAAUGUUUUAUUUUUAAUCAUUUUAUAUUUUUGUAUAAUUAUUAUUUUUUUUAAAAAUCUUUAUAAAAUAAGUCAAAACAACUAAAAAAUAUUAUUUGAAAACAUCAUAUUUUUUUUUUAAUUUUAAGAACCAAAAACAAAAAAUAAUUUUUAGUUGUGAAACGUGUUUUUCUCAAAUUUUUUAUUAUUUUGAAUUACAAAAAAUUAUCUCAAAAAUAGUUGUCACACAGGUCUUUACAUUUUAAUAGUUUUAUAAGUUUUUUUAAAAUUUAUAUACAAAGUUAUUCCAUUUAAUAAAUUUUAUAAUAUUAAUAUUAUCAUUUAAAAUUAUUAUUUUAUAACAUAUUUUAAUCGUUUUCAUUUAUAUUCUCAAGAUUAUUUUGAAAAAUAACUAUAUAAAUAUAAAAAAUAAUUAUAACAAAAAAUAUUUUAAAAAAUUAAAAUCUUGCUUUAAAAGUGGUCAUGGAAUUUACAAAAGGAAGGAUGAGGUUCCCUUUUACACUUAUUCUACUUUUAUUCCAUUAGCACCAUAUUUUUUUCUAUGGAACCCUUUCUUUAUUCCUCUGCAUACGUCCGUUCAAUAGAAAAAACAAUGCUGCCCCUUUCCUUUUUUUCUCCUUUAUGUCUUUCAAUUUUAUGCUUGAUCAAAUUCAACUCAAACUUUGGAAUGGGAAAAGGCAUUGAAGAGUCAUAAGCUAUUUCUUCAACACUAAAUAGAAAAUGCAGAUUGAAGAAGACAUAAAAUUUUCGACUACAUUUUUCCCAGAUUUUUUUUCACUUCUCUUGUUGGGCCAUUAUUCAUAGCUGUGAUUUCUUCAGCAUAGCAUCAUCCGUUUUUAUCUUCAGUAGUCCUGGACCCAGCAGCUGCAGCAUUCUUCAAGCAUAUCUGUCUCAUGAAAGGCUCUACCCUCGCCUUUCCUGGCUGCAACUGCUUCAAAAGUAGUUCAAAAUUUGACAUGUUUUUCUCAAGAUUCUCCCCACUGAACACAAGAAAGCAAAUAACUGGCUAAAAUUUUGUUUCACCAACAAAAAUAUAGUUCUGCUACAACAAAUAAAAGAUGGGUUCUGCAGACUCAAUCCAAAAAUGGUGGCCAUACUGAGCAAAUUUUGAGAAUGGCAUAAAAUUAGAGCCUCCGACAAUGAUAUAUAUUCGAGCUAUACCUGAAAACUGGACUCCGAUUCAGCAGAUAAGAAAGCUGCUUAAAGCCAUCAACCAUUCUGUUUGCAUGCCAAAGAAGAUUCCCAUCUUCGCAGUGGACCCUGUUUGGUUCCCCAGCCAUCUUUUCAUCUUCACUGUCACAAGGGAUCAUCUGAAAGUAUUGGGUCAUGACAGCAACUAUGAGGUUGAUACUUUUCUCCACCAAGACCUGAAAAUAUCAAGAAGAUAGAACAUGUGAAAGAUUCUCAUUAAUCUGGUUGCAAGCUUUCAGGAUACUAAAAGAGGCCAUUUGGUAUUUCACCUGCACCCUUGGGUUAUUUAAAUUGCAUUUUUCCAUGCCCGCAUCCUUUGCAUUCUCUAAUGGCUUCAGAGCAUUAAAUAUUUCACAGAAGCGUUCAUAAUUCUCUUGCAGAUCCUUUCCUUCAGCUUCAUUCCUCGCCUUCAUGUUCUGGUCUGCAGUGGAUGAGUUUGAAGAAUCAGGCUCAGACGCUUUCCCACAAUCACUAUAGACCAAUGAUUGCUGUCCACGGCUUGAAACAUUUUUCGGAAACAAUACACGCAGUAUGCCCUCUUUGUUUUGGUUAACCACAUCAUCCAAAAGAAUUGCAUCAGGAGAGAAGUGAAAAUGAUUAUUUCCCCAACUCACUAUCACAAGCACACUCUCGAUCUGCUUUAGAGCUUCUGCAAGUACUUCAACAAAACUGCGUUUCUGUCUACCAAGAAAGGCAUCAUAGAACUGCUUUGGUAGAUGUGAAAUAAUGCAGUUCCUACCGAGCAAAUCAAACAGUAAAUCAAAAUGCUUUCCCGAGUUCACACAAAUUAAACACAUUAUCACAACUAGUCUUAACACCAGCACUGGAUAGUCCUUCAAAUCUGUAUUAGAUUUUUCAAGCCAUUCCACUGUUCCCUCCUCAUCACAAAGUAGCUCAUGAACGAUGGAGACCAUGAAACUGUAAGUGUCCCCCAAUAUCUCAGUCUUCUCAGAUGCACCCACAUCCGUCAGUGAACUGGCACUCGGAGUGGUGUUCCACUGCUGGAAAAUAAGCCAUUCAACCACCAAAUCUUUAGUUGUGAAGACGUAUCCCUGGCAAUAUGACACUAAAAACAAUAGGUGUUCCACAAGAUACUAGAAACAAACUGGUGACACAAAAUCAAUUCCUUUUCGCCAGUUGGCAUUGUGUCUUCCAGUGCUUCACGGAGCUUCAAAAUCAAUGAAAGUUCUUCCUGAGCAGCAGCAGAACUCUUUGAAGACAGUUCUGAUCUCUUAGUAACACAAAGUCUCUUAAUAAAGUCUUUCCAUGGUGAAUCCUUAUUAAAGCUUUCCGCAAAUUCGUCAGUUAGCUUACAUGACCCAAGCAUAAUCAUCACUGCCCUCCCAAUUUGACCAUAUGUGAGGUUUCCCUUCAAGCUGAUGUUUUUAAGAAUAACUUCUCUAAGUAAAUUCCCAGCAAGCUUAUUUUCUCUGAGAGACACCAUAUCCUCAGUAGAUGAUUUUCGCCAGUCGAGGGGAUAUAUGUAGCCAAAGAAGCGCUCACUUGAUUUUUCAAGAAACAUUUGGAGUGUCUCGGCAUGAGGAUGCCAGCAGUGCAGUGACCCUGUCUUCAUAAGAAAAUUAGUCACAUCAAAUAUAUAAAUAAGAGGAAUGCUUUGGCAAAACACAGGAAAGGAAUUCCUGGUACAGAACUGAUACAAGUUUUCAAGAAUUUCCAAAAUCUUUAUGCCUACAGAAAGUAAUUCUGCACACCAAUAACUCCUGGCAGCAGAGACAAACUGACUAGCAUCAAUGAAGACCAAUUUUCCAUUUCUAUGCAAAAAUCUGUCAUCGGUUUUUCUUACCCAAUCUGCCUCAGGGUAGAGCACAAGGUAAAGAGGAGUUCGCUUAUUGGGCUGCUUCAGCACACCCAAGUAAUUCAAACAGAACUCUUUAUAAUCCACAUAUUUCUUAAUAGCUCCACCGAGAUAUUCUAAUAUAUUCACAAUCUCAUCCUUCCAGAAGUUCCAAAACUUCCAGAAGUGAACCAAAGUUUCAAUGGAGAACUGGUUACUGGAUAUUCUUUCUUCUGAAUGUGUUGUCAGAUAGGUAUAUAAAUCAGAUUUCCCCCUAUCCUCCAAGAUACUUAUUAAAUGAAGGUGAGCAUCAAUAAUUUUUCGAGCAGAUAAGAUUUCACCUCUAACACUUCCAUUAUUCUGGGAAGAUCUAAAAUACUCAUUCAGCUCAAACAAGGUACUCUGUUCAUGUGAUAAGAUGUCAACCUCUGUACAGAUAAAUCCAUAAAACUGCUUUGAAACCCUCUCAGCAUUUACUUUGGCUUUGUUUACAAGCUCCUUCUUUCGUAUAAACUGCUUCAAAGGCCAUCCUUCGCUUCCAGGUUGCCACAGAGAAUUGACUAACACAUACUGCAGAAUAGCCUUUGAAGAAUCUUCCAAACAUCCAGCCUCCACCAGCAUUUCAACCUCUAAUGAUAUAUCUCCAAUGCACUUUGCAAUAUUUGCAGCCUCAACAAAGUUUUCCUUUUCUUUUUCAAUCAAAAGAAGCUCAUCUAGACAACAUAAGUCCCUCAAGAAAGUGCGAAUCGACUCAAAGGAAUGGAAAGCUCUAACAUACUUCAUCAUGCCUGUGAGAUCUUUAAGCUCAUGACAGUGACGGGCACAUCCUUCUAACAAAUUCUGUUCAAUUCUGUGUAUUUCACCACUUUCUUUAAUAGCACCCUUACUGUUUUGUUUCCACUGCUGGAUGACCUGCAAACCCAUGUAGAAGAGUCUUCCUUUAAUGCAUACAGCCAAACACUCUGAGAAAUAGUUUCCUUUAGCAUAGGCCUCAGCUGCACUCUUGUAGCAUCUUGCCAGAGAAAAACAUUCCCCGGCUUUAUCCAGCAUAGGUUCCCCACAUUGUUCCAUAUAAAUUCUCCCUGCUCAAAAAUUAUGUUACAAUAUAGAAUGUCAAUUCCUCCCCCCCCCCCAAAAAAAGUAUAAGAACUAAAAAUUCAAUUAAAUUUGAAUUCUGGAUGGUAUUACAAUUGAGCAAUAAUCCAAGAUGAUCACUAGCAUGGCCGGUGGAAAAUCAUGCAAGCAGAAACCAGAGCAGUAUAGUAAAUACAACUUCAAAUUCAAAGUUUUAUAUGAUCAUAAACUGGACUAUUACUUUAAGAUAACCUUGAACUAAGUUCACAACAAGGAGGUUAUGAAAAAAAAACAAGAACGCAUUAUCUCAGGACACAGGGCGCCAGGUAAAAUCACCAUUAACUCCAUCUGUGCAAUGCUAACGUACUAAAACAUUAACUUAUGGGACAACAAAUCAGGCAUGUGUCUUUUUAUUACCAACAAUAGGAAACAUUCUGUUCUUCAGAGUUGCAAAGCUGCAUGCCCUUGAUAAGAUCGAUUGUCUACUGUUGUCUAUCUUUAGGACUAGAACUUAGCAGUCUUCCCCACCAACCACAUGGCUUGAUCUAUAGAUUUUGGGAUAUUGCUAACUUUCGUAGACUGAAGGUGAUGGAACAGAUCAAACGGGAGAUACCUUCAAGGCAAUGGAAUUGAGAAAUAUGGUAGGUGGGGAAGUAAAAUUAAUCCUUGUUCAUACAUGGGCUUCUCUGGUACCAAAUGAGCCACUUCAAAUAGGUUCAUAUUCAACAUUCAGACUAGAAAAAAGCUGUGAACUGACCAUUAAUUUCAAAGUAAACUAAAUAAUUUAUAGUUACAACUUAAUGCUGCAGGAUAUGCCUGAAUUUUCAGAUAAUAGUUCCUGAUAUAAAAAAUAUGUAGUCAAACUGAUAUAACCUUGUUAAAAAAGAAAAAAAAAAAAAAAAAAACAAAUACCUGCUCUUUCGUAACUCCUCAUUUCAAAAAAACACUUGGCAGCAUAUUCAGCCUUGCCAAUGCCUUCAAACAUAUCAGCAGCCUCACUAAGGUAAUUUUUGGCCAUUUGAGGACUUGAACUGGAUAUACUAAUAGCCAAUGCUUGAAGACUAGCAGCCCUAGCAAACUUUUCAUUGUACAUGUCCCCUGCUUUUUCAAAGCAGAGUCUUGCCAUUUCAUAGUUAUGUUCAUGGAAGAGCUGCAAGGUGGUAAAGAACAGUAAUUAGUCAGAAUAAGAUACUCAUCAAGGAAUGCUUCAAAAUCAACACAAAUUCAACAACAGCAGCAGCAGAACUUGAAAUAGCAGUAUCAAUAACAGCAAGGAGAUGACAAAUGGAAACUGGUUUUAGUUUUGCAGUAAAUUCUUUUAGAUUUCUCAGUUUACUAGCUUCAGGUGGUGCUCAAGAAAAAGAGGCAAAUAAUGUUGGCAAUAACAAUAAGAACAAAAAUAUUAAAAAUCAAACCUUGAAACCCUGUGACCUCCACUCAUCUGGUCUGCUUGCAACUUGCAUUCCCUGAGCAACUAAAUCAUGCAGACAUCUGACCUGAAUGAGGGACAACUUUUCCCAGUAUUCGAACAUUGGUUUGGAAACUUCAUCUAUAAUAUCACAGAUCCAUAACCUUUGCCGUGUACGAGUUAUUGCCACAUAUAGUUGCUUCAGCUCAGAGCACAAGACAUUGUGUUUUGCCUCAUCAAAACUUGGAAAAGAUAUAAGGGAUUUAGAAUCAACCAAAUUAAUCUUAUUCAUAAACUGAUAUAAGACUCUCCAAUGGUGUUUGAAAGGGCAUGACCCAAAGAAGUUACACAACAAGACAUCCUACAAAAUGAAAACAAUAAGAAGUCAAACACCUAGUCAUGGGAGUAAAAAUAUAAAGUAUAUUAACAUGUCAUUUGAAUGAAUGCAAGGAUGCUAUUUACUUCAUGAAAGUUAUGCUUCAUGCAAAACAAACGCAUAUCCUUUCAUUGUUGGAAAACAUUAUACAAAAAGCACAGUAUGAAGUGUUACAAUAUAGUAGGGUCAUGCAGGAUUUAGAACAGCAACGGGAAAUCAUAGAAAAGCCUAAGCUGAUGAAAGGAUAGAAGUUGUUGGCAUCAUUGAUCCUUCAAAAACAAUCUCAACCCUUUUUUCUCAAAAGAAAUCAUAAAAAUACAUAAACAAACAAAUUUAUGGAUUAUAAAUAAAAUAUCAUUUACCCGAAACUCUAGGCCCUUGCACUCCAAUAUUGUCAGAACAAGAGCUUUCUUUCCAACAUAUUUAGAAAUUUCCUCCUUAGCAGAAUCAUUCCGCACUAAUAUAACCUGCUCCGCUCCAAAACCAACAUUCUCUUGGGCGUUUUCGCUAUCUCCAAAAAUAGUUGGUAAUGCAUCUCUGAAAUUCCCACAUUCAAUCAAAACUGGAGCUUCCCCAUUUAUAAGGCUUGUCUCAGGGUUCAAUACAUCAAUAGUUAAAGGGAAGAAAUGGUAAAGAAGGUCAAUUAUACUUUGUGCUAAGUUAAGCACACCAGCAUGUGUGCGAAAGUUCUGGCUCAAAUGAAAAAUUUUCGAUAAUUUUCCUUUCUCUUUCUUUUCAUCAGUUGCAUCGGUUCUAGAGCCCAAUACAAAUUCCUUGAAAAACAAAUGGCGUAUAUCCUGGAACCUAAAAUGAACCCCCUUAGCAAUAGUUUGUGCUGUAUCACCCGAGAAAACAAAUCCCUCAUCAAUAUUUUUACUGACAUACUUGAAAAGAGCAAUCUGUCUCAUGGUCAGGUCCUGCACCUCGUCAAUGUACACAAAAUCAAUGUGAUCACCUUCAUAUCUUUCACUUCUAAGUCGAAAAUGAAGAUCCAUUACUAAGUCAGACAAAUCAUAUUCACCCUUCUUGAACUUUUUCUUUUCAUAUUCUAGAAAAAUAUCGUAAACUCUGUCUCUUUGCUCCCUGGUAAGAGUAGACACCCGAGCCUUAGAUAGUAAAAGAUAGUCCUCACGAGAGAGUAUACCAUCAUGGGCCUUUCCUGCUUCUAACCCACCUUUUAUAUGAGAAAUUAUCUCAGUAAAAACUGCAGAAGAGUCAAGAUAUUUUAUUAGAUGGGAUUUGAAAUAGGGCCAGUAAGAUGAUAUGAAUCUCUCAUAAUUAACCUCUCUUGAUCUGAUAAAGGUUUUCAGGGUAACGGUUCUUGAAGGUUUAUGUGCAUCAGGAAAUCUUGAGAAGUACGAAUUACCCACUGUUCCAUCAAGCAUCAUCAAAAACUUAUGAAAAGUGAUAACAAGGGGGUAUGACUUCGAUGGGAUAUUAACAAAAGAAUCUGGAAUAUCCUUGAAUUGCACCGUGUCAUCGAUAUAAUCCAAAUCUAGUGAACUGCUUUCUACCAAAAAUUCCCCACCAGAAGCAAAGCUACAAGUCCAAGGAAAUACAGUUAGAAAAAAAAAACAACCAUUUUGUACCUAGAAUACUGAUUUAUUUUCAGAUAAAAGAUAACCGAUUACAUGUUAAAGCUACCAAACAAAAAAUAUAGAGAUUACGGAAGAUCUAUUAGAGCAAUCAUGUAAAUAAGGACUUCUAGACGACAACCAAGGCUAGGUGCUUAUAUACAAAUAACAAGAGUAAAAAGGUUGAUGUAUUAUAAUUCUUUCCUUACCUUUGGAAGUGAGAUAAUUGUCGUCUAAUGGCAUUACACAGUCUCGGACUAACUGUAACAAAAAGUUGGUGCAAGCAUGCUCCCUUUGCAUCUCCAGUGCAUUCACCAAUUUCAUUUCUCUGACUAGCAUGCGUAGACGAAUGGCCCUCAACUUCAUAUAAUCCCUCUGAAGCAAUAUGAAACAAUUGCUCUUUCUGGAAUAGCUUCAUGCUCAAAACUGUAGUUUUCCCGGUGCCAGACCUUCCAAGUAUAAAACUGCUUCUAUUGAAGAAAAUGGUCUCCCGCUCUUGGUCAGUUAAUUCAAAGGGAAGAUCCAGUUCUCUACCAUCAUGGCCAGAAAUAAAGUGUCGCACCAUAUUAAAUGUCACGGAGUAAAAUUUCAUAAUUAAAAAGCUCUCACUCACAAUUGAGUUCUCAAAACCGCCUCUUCUGGCCAGACCACUAACAUUUGAAAUUUUACCAGUUGCAUUAUUGCUAAGACUCUUGUAUUGAACAAUAUCAUAUGAAGUUGUCCAACUCAUUGGAAUUUCCAAUUCCCUGUGCUUAAAAAACAAGGUUAAAAUUCAAUCAAUUUUCAAUUAGUGAAAAAAAGUUUGUGUUCAAUCUUUCUGAAGUUGUAAAUUAAUAGCAAACAAAAAAAAAAAAAAUCUUACCCCUCCCAAGAUUUCUUCUUGCAACGACUGAGAUAAUCAUCAGUGUUCAUUUCAAAUAGGCUGUCAAGGUGUUUAACCAGCUUCGGAAUAUCCUCCAAUGCUAAUAUAUCCCAAACCUUAAGAACCUGGGUAUAGUAGCCACAUUCCUUCUGAAGAUCAUUUGAGUAAACAAUGUACAGAUAUCCCACCUUGAAUUUUUUCAAAAUCUUGGAAGAACUUUCACAAGGCAAAUCUAUAUUCCUCCUUUUAGGUCGCCAGCCAGUUGACAGUUUUAGUAAUAAGGCGAUGACCAUAUUCUGAGUAUGAGAUGACUUCAAGUUAUAGAACGCUUUUCUAAAAUUUUCACUGAAAAUAACCUAGGUAUGGAUGGAGAUAAGAAAACAAAGGAUAAGAUCUUGUCAAAAGGAGUUAACUAUACAAAACAUAAAGAAAUAUUGUGCUAAAAUGCAAGGUUAGGAAAGGUUUAUCAAUGAGAGAAAAAAAAUGUGUAGCUACCACAUCCUACACACCUUCCAUCUAGCACUGUUAAACAGUGAACUAUCCCUAUUAAGCAAAUCAUCCAGUUCAUGAAGCUCCGCCUUGACCUUAAACAUGGUAUUGGCCAAAUCACAAUCUUCAUCAGCAUUCAAAAGACAAUGUCGAUCCUUAGCAUCAUGGACAAUAUCUUUCCACACUGUUUCACUCAUAACUAGGGUCCUUUCACUCCCCAAAAUCCAAAGACAAUGUCUGGAAAGGCAAAAUGAAGUCAUUUGCCUCAUAAUAUUAAAUGUCAAAAGAUUGCAAAGGAAUUCUUUAAAGAAUACGUUUAAAGCCUUACCUAGCUCUUGUCAAAGCAACAUUAGUUAUUUUAACAUCGGCCAUCACCCCAACUGAUCCAAAAUUAUUAGCUCGUACAGUUGAUAUCAGUAUUAUAUCUUCUUCUCCACCUUGGAACCCAUCAAUUGUCUGUACCUUUACUGAAAACAUAUCGUUGUUCUCAUAUUUCUGCUUGAGUCUUUCUUGAAUUUCAAGUACUUGAGCAGUAUAUGGGGAUAGUACACCAAUUCUAAGCUCUUCCUUUAUUCCACUCCUCCAAGCUAGAUAGAGAAACAAUUAAAAAUAUCAAAACAAAAUCAAUCUAACAGAACAUGAGAGCAAUGAAGCAUUCCUUCUGGGCAUUGUUUAGAGAAAUUAGUGGCAUAAACCAAAAUAUUGUAUAUAAUGAACCCUUGAUUUUUAAAGAAAGUGUAUUAAUAUAGAAAGGAGUCUUCACUUUACUAAAGUUCUAUCACUUUGUAUUUCAAGAGCCAGGAGUGGAAAUGAUACAAAAAGGAAGAGACACAAUUGCCUUUUAGAAGAAAUUGCAAGAGACACUGCUACUCUUGUAUGCAUGUUUCAAGAUACAGGAUGGCCCAUGAUUUGAUGUCAUAAUUUGUAGAAUAAAAUUUCCCAUGGAAAAAGGCAUAUGGAAAUGGCUUGGUUUGUAAAUAUAAAGGAGUAAAUACAGAGGAAGAAACUCAUAAGUAGAUUCAUAUACAUGAACCGUUCAAAGGAAAACUACACUAUUAGUGUGGUGCUAGUAUCAAACUCAUGCAAAUCAAGAAGUUUGCAUGUAAAUUGCUACAUCAUGAGAAGUAUAGUUCAGUAUGUAAAUAUCAGAUAUGGAGAAGCCAAGAAGGAAAAAUAAUAUUUGCAAUUUAUGAGAAAGAAUCAGCUUUGUCUUCACCGACUUGGUGUAUAGAAAUGAGGAUGGACAAAAAAUGAAGUAGCAGAUAAUAAAGGUGACAAAGAAAUUGAUCUUCACCAUUUUUUUUUCAUGCCAUAUAAUCCAGAAAUGAACUUAUGCACAAAUUUUCCUCAACAUUUUGAAUAUUCUGGUUUUGGGAAAACAGAAAUCAGCAUUUAAAGAAGAAAUAGAAACACAUCAUAAAAAUGCCACACCUUGGUAUAGAUUCUGUACUAUCUUCAUCAAAACAGCCACCUCAACCAUAUUUUUCACACUGUGUCCAACCUCAUCCACUUCCUCCCUCCCACAAGAAAUAUUUAUGAAUAAAUAUAGUCUAAAAACUGGGUCGGGAAGAUAUUUUUUUUCAUAGGCUUUAUGCUUAACAUUUGGAGCAUCCAAUAUUUGAUUGGCAUAAAAAUUUGAGCAUGGAAACAAACUGAUUGAUGGAUGCAUUCGGUACUGCAGAUUGAGGAAGUGCUUUGCAUGAUCCAGUGAACUCAAUCUUUCAUAUAAGCUUCUCCCGAAGCCGGCUUUAUCACAGAUCUGUUGAAAAGAGAAAAAAACACUGAAAACUUAGAAAACCAUAUGUUCAAAACAAACUUUGAGGGUAAAAUGGAAAAGGUAUUGAAGAAGCUAUGUGAAUAAAUCCAACAUUUCUACUUAAACGUGAAUGCAAUCAACAUAUUAGAAUUGACUUACAUUGCUUGUCACUCUUGAGGGUAAUUGGAACUUAUCCCCAAUCAGAAUAGCAAGCUUUAUACCAGGAAGUUGGAGUGGAAUGGUUGACUCACACUCUCUUAACUGUGCAGCUUCAUCAAUAACCAAAAUGUUUAAUGGCUUCAUAUCCACCAAAUGCAGUUUAUGCGAAUCAGAAGCAGUGGAGAAAAUAGAAGAAGCUGUUUGAAAACAGAAAUCUAUUAACAAAUCUUUUCUGAUAUUCUUUGGAAAUUGAAGCUCAUCAAGCGAAUUCUGAAGAUUUUUUAGAAUGUGAAGGCAUUCGCUUCUGAUGUACAUCAAGGUUGAUGAAUCCGCAACAGACUUAGAAGAAUGCUUCACAUUUUCUUUCCCUGCAAACAGGUUUUCUAGUUCUUCAGAAACCAUAUUGUCUUGAUGCAACAAAGAUUCAAAAGAACUGAGGAAGCCUAGAAG
rnacentral:lncRNA from 1 species